rnacentral:rRNA from 1 species
AGUGAACGCUGGCGGUAGGCCUAACACAUGCAAGUCGAACGGCAGCACAGGAGAGCUUGCUCUCUGGGUGGCGAGUGGCGGACGGGUGAGGAAUACAUCGGAAUCUACUUUUUCGUGGGGGAUAACGUAGGGGAACUUACGCUAAUACCGCAUACGACCUACGGGUGAAAGCAGGGGAUCUUCGGACCUUGCGCGAUUGAAUGAGCCGAUGUCGGAUUAGCUAGUUGGCGGGGUAAAGGCCCACCAAGGCGACGAUCCGUAGCUGGUCUGGGAGGAUGAUCAGCCACACGGGAACUGAGACACGGUCCAGACUCCUACGGGAGGCAGCAGUGGGGAAUAUUGGACAAUGGGCGCAAGCCUGAUCCAGCCAUACCGCGUGGGUGAAGAAGGCCUUCGGGUUGUAAAGCCCUUUUGUUGGAAAGAAAUCCAGCUGGUUAAUACCCGGUUGGGAUGACGGUACCCAAAGAAUAAGCACCGGCUAACUUCGUGCCAGCCGCCGCCGUAA